UACAGAGGGGGCAAGCGUUGUUCGGAAUUACUGGGCGUAAAGGGCGCGUAGGCGGGCUGUCAAGUCUGGGGUGAAAUCCCGCGGCUCAACCGUGGAACUGCCUUAGAUACUGACGGCCUCGAGGGAGAUAGGGGCGAGCGGAACUGUGAGUGGAGCGGUGAAAUGCGCAGAUAUCAGGAAGAACACCGGUGGCGAAGGCGGCUCUCUGGGACCUGUUCUGACGCUGAGGAGCGAAAGCGUGGGGAGCGAACAGG
rnacentral:rRNA from 1 species